rnacentral:snRNA from 1 species
AUGCUCCUUCGAUAGCACAAAUACUAAAAUUUAAAAUACAAAAAAGAUUAGCAUGGUCCCUACACAAGGAUGAUGUGACCAAGCAUUAAGAAUUAACAAAUAAUU